AAUGAACGCUGGCGGCGUGCCUAACACAUGCAAGUCGAACGAGAAAGGGGCCUUCGGGUCCUGAGUAAAGUGGCGAACGGGUGAGUAACGCGUAGGUAACCUAAUCCCGAGUGAGGAAUAACUUGGCGAAAGCCGAGCUAAUACCGCAUGACAUCGCCGGACCUUCGGGUCUGGCGAUCAAAGGUGGCGAGCUUCGAGUGCUGCCGCUUGGGAAGGGGCCUGCGUCCCAUUAGCUUGUUGGUGGGGUAAAGGCCUACCAAGGCGACGAUGGGUAGCCGAGCUGAGAGGCUGACCGGCCACACUGGAACUGAGACACGGUCCAGACUCCUACGGGAGGCGGCAGUGGGGAAUUUUGCGCAAUGGGGGAAACCCUGACGCAGCGACGCCGCGUGGGCGAUGAAGGCCUUCGGGUCGUAAAGCCCUGUCGAGUGGGACGAAACGUGCGAGCACUAACACGGCUCGUGCCUGACGGUACCACUGGGGGAAGCCCCGGCCAACUCCGUG
rnacentral:rRNA from 1 species